CAAACGCUGGCGGCGUGCCUAACACAUGCAAGUCGAACGUGAACGUCCCUUCGGGGGCUAUUAGAGUGGCGAACGGGUGAGGAACACGUGGGUAACCUGCCUUGGGGUGGGGGACAACAGCUCGAAAGGGCUGCUAAUACCGCAUAAAGCUCUAGUUUCAAAAGGAACAAGAGUGAAAGGUGGCCAAUUCUUGAAAGCUACCGCCCUUAGAUGGGCCCGCGUACCAUUAGCUUGUUGGUAGGGUAACGGCCUACCAAGGCUGCGAUGGUUAGCUGGUCUGAGAGGAUGAUCAGCCACACUGGAACUGAGACACGGUCCAGACUCCUACGGGAGGCAGCAGUGGGGAAUCUUGGACAAUGGGGGAAACCCUGAUCCAGCAACGCCGUGUGAGUGAUGAAGGUUUUCGGAUCGUAAAGCUCUGUCAGUGGGAAAGAAAUCAGUAAGCAUCAGAUCCUUACUGUUGACGGUACCCACAAAGGAAGCACCGGCUAACUCC
rnacentral:rRNA from 1 species